UUUUUUGAACAACACUGUCAGUCUAGAUAAUCUUGGUCACAGAAUCAGCUGAUAGUGAUCUGAGCAUUCACAGCAAAAGGGAUACCACACAGUUUUUCCCCAUGGAACAGAUGAAAUCAGAACACGGACAGGAAGCUUACAUGCCUGUUGCAUGUGAGGAGGGCAAGAAUGUGCCAUUCCCUGGAAAGACUGUGGCGUCCAAGAUCUGUGUGCCCUCCACAUCUUCAUUUGGAACUCCCAGUCCAUCCAAUCAUGGACACUUUGAACAACGGGGUGAUCACCUGCUGAAGGAUGUGUGGAAGGCAAACCAGGAGCACUCAUCCUACACCUUCUAUUCCUAUACAGAAACAAAAGAAGUCUGGAGAACAGAAUCAUGCCUAGAUAAGGCGAUAAACUGGAGGAGGUCUACUAAUGCACCAGCAGGGACCCGACAGUUCCAUUUUUACACCCCUGAAAAGGCAAAGUUUGUAUGGGUGCCAAGACACAGCUUUAUGUGAGGUCAAGAGGAGAAACUUGUCGGGCAACUUAGAUGCUUCUCUUUUUCAAUAAAAUCAGGAAAUUCA